GCGGCCGCCAGGAUGUGCCCCCGGCCCCGUCGUCGCCGCGCCCGCGCCCCUCGCCCCAGUGUGGACGUGGGGAGGAUCUUCUAAGUCCCUCCAACGAAGGCAAGUGUGAGACUCUGGCCCUUUAUUUGUAAGAAGCAAGCCUUCAGAUUGCAGAAGUGUCGCGCGGGUCGCCGUGCGUUGCGCGAGUGGGAAGAUGGAGGAGGCCGGCACGCUGCUUUCGUGGACGCAAGUGAACCGGGCGUGAAGGCAGGGUGCGAGCUCUGCCCUUGGCCCAGCCCUGCGUGGGCGCCGUCCCAGAUUCCGGGCGGUGCGGGGUGCAGAGAUCUGGAGAGACUUGCGGGCUCCCCAGCGCAGGCUGCUCUGGGAUUUCGUUGGAAGAUCCGGCAGAGCCUU
rnacentral:lncRNA from 1 species